rnacentral:rRNA from 1 species
CAGUAGCCGCGGUAAAACGUAGGUGGCAAGCGUUGUCCGGAAUUAUUGGGCGUAAAGGGCUCGCAGGCGGUUUCUUAAGUCUGAUGUGAAAGCCCCCGGCUCAACCGGGGAGGGUCAUUGGAAACUGGGAAACUUGAGUGCAGAAGAGGAGAGUGAAAUUCCACGUGUAGCGGUGAAAUGCGUAGAGAUGUGGAGGAACACCAGUGGCGAAGGCGACUCUCUGGUCUGUAACUGACGCUGAGGAGCGAAAGCGUGGGGAGCGAACAGGAUUAGAUACCCCAGUAGUCCCUGUCUCUUAUAA